AACAAAUGUUCCAUUUUUCCACCUUCGCCGCAUCAAGCAUCAAGUCCAUUACCUUUCCCGCCCCGACCUGGCCACAGUGAUUCAUGCGACGGCCACCUCUAGGCUUGACUACUGUAAUUCGCUCUACGCGGGGCUGCCCUUGAAGCUGUUCCAGAAACUCCAGCGGUUGCAGAAUGCUUCAGUGGGGCUCCUCACGGGGUCUCUGCCAUGGGAGCAUAUUCACCCAGUGCUUUUCCUUUUCCUUUUUUUUAAUAAUAUUUUUAUUCACUUUCCAAUACAAAAUUAUACAGUCCAUACAUCUUAGUUACAUCCCAUUUCUCCUUAUUGACUUCCCUCAACCCAUCUGAUAUUCCUUCGUUUCCUUACUUUCUCCACAUUUCUAAAGUUAUAGUUACAUUACUAUUAUUUAAUUUACCUUAUUUUUAAUAUUAUUCCAACAUUUCUUUUCACAGAGCUUCAUUAAAACUUACAAACAUUAUCUGAUUAUCACUUAUUUUUUGUAUAUACUCUGUAAAUUUCUUCCAGUCUUCUGUAAAUCUCUGAUCUUGUCGAUUUCGGAUCCUUCCUGUCAGUCUAUCGAGUUCUGCAUAGUCCAUCAUUUUCAUUCUCCAUUCUUCUUUCGUAGGUAGCUCCUCUUGUUUCCAUUUCUGGGCCAGCAAUAUUCUUGCUGCAUAUAAAAAUAACUUCUUUUCUUUCUUAUUUAUCUCGUUACCUAUAAUUCCUAGCAAAAACGCUUCUGGUUUCUUAACAAAUGUAUAUUUCAACAUUUUCUUCAAUUCAUUAUAUAUCAUUUCCCAAAAGGUUUUAACUUUCUUACACUUCCACCACAUAUGAUAAACCGUCCCUUCCUUUUCUUUACAUUUCCAACAUUUAUUGCUUGUCUUAUACAUCUUCGCUAAUUUCACAGGUGUUAUAUACCAUCAAUACAUCAUUUUCAUCACAUUUUCUUUUAUUGCUGUACAUGCAGUAAAUCUUAAUCCUUCUUUCCAUAAUUUCCCCCAAUCUUCCAUUAGUAUAUUAUAUCCAAAAUCUUUGGCCCAGUCAAUCAUAACCGAUUUCACCUCUUCAUCCUUUGUACACCGUUCUAAUAGUAUCUUAUACAUUCUUGCCAAGACUUUAAUAUCAUUGUUCAAUAUUUCUCUCUGGAAUUUUGAUUCUUUAUCAGCAAAACCUCUUUGUAUCAAAUCUUUUUUAAACAUUUCAUUGAUUUGAAAAUAAUGCAGCCAAUCAUUAACAUAUUCCUUAACUUCUUCAAAUGGUCUCAUUUUCCAUUUACCUUCUACUUUCAUUAUUAACUUCUCAUAUGUCACCCAUCCCCCCUUCAUAUUGAUUUCCUUCACACUCAUCGCCUCCAAUGGCGAUAGCCAACAUGGAGUUUUUAACUCCAACAAAUUUUUAUACCUCUCCCAAACUUCAAUAAGAGCCCUUCGUAUGAUGUGGUUUUCAAAACCUUUAUGUACACGCUUUUUGUCAUACCACAAAUAUGCAUGCCACCCAAAUCUGUUAUCAAAACCUUCCAAGUCUAACAAUUCUGUAUUUUCUAAUUUCAUCCAUUCCUUCAACCAACAGAGGCACGAUGCUUCAUAAUAUAAUUUCAAGUCUGGCAGGGCGAAGCCUCCUCUUUCUUUCACAUCUGUCAAUAACUUAAACUUUAUUCUCGGCUUCUUACCCUGCCAGAUAUACCUUGAAAUUUCUCUUUGCCAAUUUUUAAAAAUUGUUGCCCCUUUGAUUACUGGAAUUGUUUGAAACAAGAAUAACAAUUUCGGUAGCACAUUCAUCUUUAUUGUUGCGAUUCUUCCGCAAAAUGACAAUUUCAUUCUUCCCCACACCUACAGGUCUCUUUUAAUCUUAUUCCAAGUUGGAGUAUAAUUAUUCUGAAAUAGAUCAAUACUCUUGGGGGUUAGCCAUACUCCUAAGUAUUUAACUUUCUUGACCACUUCUAUCUCUAUUUGUUGCUGCAUUUUAUCAAUUAUCUCCUGGUCCAUGUUUUUGGUAAUUAUUUUGGUUUUUUUCUUAUUUAGAUUGAAUCCCGCCACUUGACCAAAUGGAUCUAUUUCUUUCAAAACUUCUGUUACAGUAUUUAUGGGAUUCUCCACAGUUUUACUAAGUCAUCAGCAAAGACUUUAACUUUAUAUUCUUUACAGCCCACUGUUACACCUUUUAUUUGAUCAUUACUUCUUAUUGCCCUUAAAAAGACUUCCAGGACCGUGAUAAAUAACAACGGUGAAAGGGGACAUCCUUGUCUUGUACCUUUAGUUAUUAUUUUAUUUUCUGUUGUCACAUUGUUAACUAUUAAUUUUGCUCUUUGAUCCAUAUAUAUUGCCUUAAUACCAUUUAAAAACAUUUGUCCCAUAUCCAUCAUUUCAAAUUUUUUUAACAUAAAUUCCCAAGAAAUAUUGUCAAAGGCCUUUUCCGCAUCCACAAAUAUUAGCAUUGUUUGUUUAUCAUUCCUGGCAGUCAAAUAUUCCAUAACAUUAAUUAUGUUUCUUAUAUUAUCUUUCAUUUGUCUGCCUGGAAGAAAACCUGCUUGAUCCUUAUGUAUUAAUUCCUUCAAAACCAUUUUCAUCCUAUUUGCUAAUAUACUUGUAAACAAUUUGUAAUCAUUAUUCAAAAGCGAAAUCGGCCUAUAAUUUUUAACUUGAGAAAGAUCAGAAUCUUGUUUAGGUAUCAAAGUAAUAUAUGCUUCUUUCCAAGUUUCUGGUAUUUCCCUAUUUGUUAAUAUAUUAUUCAUUACUUCUUUCAAAGGUACAAGUAGAAUGUCCUUCAUUUCUUUAUAAAAUCUUGCACUAAAUCCAUCCGGUCCUGGUGUCUUUCCACUUUUUAGCUCUUUAAUUGCAUUUUUUAUUUCUUCUAUUUCAAUCAUCUCAUUUAAUUUGCUUUUUUCCUUCGUCGGAAUUUUCUGCAUCCCUUUCUCUUUUAAAUAGUCUUCUAUUUUUUAAUAUUCCCUUUUUCUUUUCUUUUAUAUAAUUGUCUAUAAAAGUCCACAAAUCUUUUUCUAAUUCCUUUUGGAUCAUCAAUCUCUUUAUCUUCUACAAUUAUUUUUUGUAUAGUAUUUUGCUCUUUCCUUUUUUUAAUCUGCCAAGCUAGUAGUUUUCCCGAUUUAUUUGCAAACUCAAAGUUCCUUUGUCUCAUUCUUUUAAUAUUCCACUCUACUUCUUUAUUUAUUAUCAUAGAAAAUUGUGAUUGUAGUGCUUUGAUAUUCAAUUUCAAUUUUUUAUCUUCGGGUCUGGCAAUAAGUUUCUUCUCAUUCUCCAUUAUUUGUUUUAAGAUUUCUUUUUCCCCUUUUUCUCUAAAUUUAUUUUUGAUUGUAUUCUGUUGAAUAAAGAAACCUCUCAUUACUGCUUUGCCGGCAUCCCAAACUGUACUCAUUUUUGUUCCUUGAUUCAUAUUAUUUAUGAAGUAGUCCUUCAGAUAUUUUUGUGCAUCUUCUACAACUUUCUGAUCAUCAAAGAGAUUUUCAUUUAUUCUCCACCGGAAAGAUUUUUCCUCAAAUCCUUUUAAUAUACAUUUUAUAGCAUUAUGGUCCGAAAGUACCUUAGGUUGGAUUUCUAUCUUUGAAAUUCUUGGUGUGAGUUCAUUGGUUAUCCAUAUUUGAUAAAUUCUGGACAUUGAUAGAUUUGCCUCUGAAUGGUAGGUAAACUGUUUUUCUAAUGGGUGUCUCAAUCUCCAAAUAUCAAUUAAGUUGCAGUUCUCAACCAUUGAAAAAAAAGUUUUUGGUAAUUUUCCUUCUUUUGUUUCCCCUGUUGCUCUUAAUCUAUCCAUUUCCAUUGACACAACUGCAUUCAUAUCACCCAUUAUUAUGAUCCUUUGGUCCAAAUAUUCAAAUAGUCUUUCCUCCAAAUCCUUAAAAAAGUCCAUUUUAUUUUCAUUAGGUGCAUAAACUCCGACAAUUAUUAUUUUUUCGCCUUGCCAUUUGACUUGUACUGCCACAAUUCUGCCUUCUUCAUCUUUAAAAAUUUGUUGAGCCUCUGAUUUAUUUGUGAUAUAUAUAAUACCAUCCCUCUCUUCUUGCUUUUAUCCGAUGAGAUAAAUUCAUUUCCUAACUUUUUAUUCAUUAAAAAUACAGCUUAAACAGGAGCUUCAAAAGCCAUUACGCAGUUCUUUUAAAAUCGAAAGUAAACCACAGUCCAAAGAUCCUUUCUCGGCAUUUCAACCAUCGACAAAACAAAGGAAGAAUUAUAUCCUCUAUCCCCUCAGUCCUCUUUCUCCUCAAUGUCUUACUCCUUGUAAAAAGUCAAUUUAAAAAUAAAUAAAUAAAUAAAUAAUCCACAAAAGAGAUAGAUCCAAUUGCCGAAACAGUCCCCGUUUGUUUUUACUCACUGUUCCGUUCCGCUCUGAGAGUAGUCCUUGUGUAUUCUUAGGAAUUCAGACAAGGUUGACCUCCUGUUUGUCCCUUGUCUGUGUCGAAUUAGAUCCAAAUAGUUAUAAUUUAGUCUUUUUUAAAGUUUCCAAUCAGAUUUCUUUUUUUCCGGAAAGCCGAUCGCUCCAGUGUACAAGCUUGGGGCUUCGCUCCAAGAGGCUAGCAAUGGCAUCCCGCUACCAGUCUUUCUACCCCGCCGCUCUCGUCUCCUCUAAAAGGAGGAUACCUGGCGGCCGGGGGAAUCGCUCAUCGGCAGUGCCGGGAUCCUGACCCCUGAAUCUCCUUUCAGUGGGGUUUGGGGGGGCUCCGAGGGAAAACCCGCUUGCUUCCACUUCGCGAUCAGACCGGAGGUCCCACCCAGUGCUUUUCCAGCUGUACUGGCUCCCGGUGGAGUACAUGGUCAGAUUUAAGGUGCUCGUUUUGACCAUUAAAGACCUUCACAGCUUAGGACUCACGUACCUACAGGACCGCCUCUCCCGGUAUGGCCCAUGGAGGACCUUAGGGUCCAUAAAUAGCAACACCCUAGAGGUCCUGGGCCCUAAGGAAGUUAGAUUAGGCUCAACCAGAGCCAGGGUCGUUUUUUCAACACUGGCUCCAGCCUGGUGGAACGCUCUGUCUCAUGAGACCAGGGCCCUGCAGGAUCUGAUUUCUUUCUGCAGGGCGUGUAAGACAGAGUUGUUCUGCCUGGCCUUUGGCUUUGAGUCAAUUUGAUUCCUUCCCCAUCUUUCUUUUUCCUUUCUCCUGUGAUGAGGCUGCAUUUUAACGUUUUAAUGUUGUAUUUUAAUCUUGUUUUUAAGUUGUAUUCCUUCAACUUGUUUUUAUUACUGCUUGUUAGCUGCCCUGAGCCCGGCCUUGGCUAGGGAGGGCAGGGUAUAAAUAAAAUAAUGUAUUA